rnacentral:rRNA from 1 species
GAUGAACGCUGGCGGCGUGCCUAAUACAUGCAAGUCGAGCGAACAGACGAGGAGCUUGCUCCUCUGGCGUUAGCGGCGGACGGGUGAGUAACACGUGGAUAACCUACCUAUAAGACUGGGAUAACUUCGGGAAACCGGAGCUAAUACCGGAUAAUAUAUUGAACCGCAUGGUUCAAUAGUGAAAGACGGUUUUGCUGUCACUUAUAGAUGGAUCCGCGCCGCAUUAGCUAGUUGGUAAGGUAACGGCUUACCAAGGCAACGAUGCAUAGCCGACCUGAGAGGGUGAUCGGCCACACUGGAACUGAGACACGGUCCAGACUCCUACGGGAGGCAGCAGUAAGGAAUCUUCCGCAAUGGGCGAAAGCCUGACGGAGCAACGCCGCGUGAGUGAUGAAGGUCUUCGGAUCGUAAAACUCUGUUAUUAGGGAAGAACAAAUGUGUAAGUAACUAUGCACGUCUUGACGGUACCUAAUCAGAAAGCCACGGCUAACUACGUG